rnacentral:rRNA from 1 species
AGAGUUUGAUCCUGGCUCAGAUUGAACGCUGGCGGCAGGCUUACACAUGCAAGUCGAGCGGUAACAGGGGUAGCUUGCUACCCGCUGACGAGCGGCGGACGGGUGAGUAAUGCUUAGGAAUCUGCCCAGUAGUGGGGGAUAGCCCGGGGAAACCCGGAUUAAUACCGCAUACGUCCUACGGGAGAAAGCAGGGGAUCUUCGGACCUUGCGCUAUUGGAUGAGCCUAAGUCGGAUUAGCUAGUUGGUGGGGUAAAGGCCUACCAAGGCGACGAUCCGUAGCUGGUCUGAGAGGAUGAUCAGCCACAUCGGGACUGAGACACGGUCCAGACUCCUACGGGAGGCAGCAGUGGGGAAUAUUGGACAAUGGGCGAAAGCCUGAUCCAGCCAUGCCGCGUGUGUGAAGAAGGUCUUCGGAUUGUAAAGCACUUUAAGUUGGGAGGAAGGGCAGUAAGUUAAUACCUUGCUGUUUUGACGUUACCGACAGAAUAAGCACCGGCUAACUUCGUGCCAGCAGCCGCGGUAAUA